CCGCGUGCAGGAUGACGGCCCUAUGGGUUGUAAACUGCUUUUAUACGGGAAGAAACGCACCUACGUGUAGGUGUCUGACGGUACCGUAAGAAUAAGGACCGGCUAACUCCGUGCCAGCAGCCGCGGUAAUACGGAGGGUCCGAGCGUUAUCCGGAAUCAUUGGGUUUAAAGGGUCCGUAGGCGGGCCUGUAAGUCAGGGGUGAAAGUUUGUGGCUCAACCAUAAAAUUGCCUUUGAUACUGCAGGUCUUGAGUCAUGGUGGGGUUGCCGGAACAUGUGGUGUAGCGGUGAAAUGCAUAGAUAUCACAUAGAACACCGAUCGCGAAGGCAGGUGACCAACCAUGUACUGACGCUGAUGGACGAAAGCGUGGGUAGCGAACGGGAUUAGAUACCCCGGUAGUCCACGCCGUAAACGAUGGAUACUAGCUGUGGGGACUUCGGUCUCCGUGGCCAAGCGAAAGUGAUAAGUAUCCCACCUGGGGAGUACGUUCGCAAGAAUGAAA
rnacentral:rRNA from 1 species